rnacentral:lncRNA from 1 species
UAGAAAGCCGAAGCGUUUCCACGCGGCCAAUGCGGCCGACUAUAAAUGAUCGACUGGAUAGUUGAGGUGAAAGUAGUAGUGCUUCCACUUUGAAUGAUCCGGGUUCAAUUCCCGGCUUCCACCUCCAGUUUUUCAGCAGGGAUUCAGGCUCGGCACUGAAUCCCACCUCCAAAUUUCCGGUCAUAAGCCAUUCGUAGUCAGCUUAUGAUGGGCUUAUAAGUGACCUUCGCUAAAUAAAACAUAUCCCAUGUACGAUACGGUAGUUUAAUUGAAAUUAACUUAGUCUAUGCUUGAAUCACUGAAUCCCAUUCUCCAUCUGAUAGUUGACCUCAUCAGAAACUUGGAUGGUCCGUGUUGGGCACUACAAUAUCUUACCGCUAUAGGCCGGAUUAGUCUCUUGGAAACGCUUCGGCUUUCUACACUGGAGGACCUAGAUUCGAGUCUCGGUCCUACCCCUCGAAGAUAUUUAUCAUUGGGUCCGGGCCCGACCCAUUGAUCCCCGUUUUUCUCAAUCCGGCUGACCCCUCCGCAGGGGUGGGCAGUCUGUGGGAGGGCUUGUUUCGCC